UCCCAGGACAAGUAAAGUGUCUCUAUUUCCCAUGAGCCUAUGCGCUCCCCAAAUUUAGGAGCCGUCUUAAAUGUCUCUAUCUGGUCUAGCGGUUAAGAGUCUCUAUGCUAAGAGAAUUGGCAACGCCGAACCCCAGACUCAAAUUUCUCCUUAGUUUAAGGGAACGUCUUCGUGGGGAUGUCUUGACCAUCUUUAAGGGAAGGUCUAGAAAGUUUCUGCUUCAUAUAGCAUCUCGUAGACCGUGCCCGGGCCAGUCCUGCCUUACCUGAGAGCUCAAGGCUUAAAAUCAGUGUACAUGUGCAACCGUGACAAGUGGAACAAGAGGGUGCAUCAUGCUAGCUUAUGAUCACAAUGACACGUUUAACGAAAACAUUAGUAACUAGAGCCCAUGGAUGAAAUAAUAGAGGAUUAGCCUGGGACAAGAUACCAUCCUCGCCCCAACAAGGAAAAAAGGAAUUCCAGCUUUUCCAAAUCACUUUGAAUUUGUGAUAGCUAGAAAACCCAGAGAAUAUGUACAGAAUUGAAAGAAGAAAAAAAUUACUCAGAACUCUACUUCCUGAAGAGGAUGAGGCAAGCAGAAGAAGAAAUGUGCGUUUUAAUGGAAAACGAAGCACAUUUAGAAAGCCAUGUUGCUUGAUUCCAACCCUGUUCAUUAUCUUUGAGGUUUUCCAGGUCUUCACAGAAGUGCCCGAUGGAAUCACAUGACUGAGCCAGGAAAACCUCAGGACUGGAGUGCCUCAUGAACGGUUGAAGCCCAGGCAAAGUCUCACUCUGUCGCCCAGGCUGGAGUGCAGGGGUAUGAUCUCGGCUCACUGCAACCUCUGUGUCCCAGGUUCAAGUGACUCUCCUGCCUCAACCUCCUGAGUAGCUGGGACUAUAGGUGGAUGCAACCAUGCCCGACUAAUUUUUGUAUUUUUAGUAGAGACAGGGCUUUUCCAUGUUGGCCAGACUGGUCUCGAACUCCUGACCUCAGGUGAUAGACCCGCCUCAGCCUCCCAAAGUGCUGGGAUUACAGGCGUGAAGCACUGCGCUGGGCUAGGAAUUUGGUUUUAUGGUCUGAUCACAUGGUGAUCUCUGUAAUGAGAUUAACGUUUGCAAAGACCUAACUUCUAUUGGGUGAGAGACAACAGAGUCUGAUUUGUUAUUCUAUUUGUCUGUCUAUUUUGAGCUGAAAUCAAUUAAGAAUUUCAUGCCCACUGGGAGGAGAAGAGCUCUUUGAUAUCU